GACGAACGCUGGCGGCGUGCUUAACACAUGCAAGUCGUACGGUAAGGCCCUUUCGGGGGUACACGAGUGGCGAACGGGUGAGUAACACGUGAGUAACCUGCCCACAACUUUGGGAUAACGCUAGGAAACUGGUGCUAAUACUGGAUAUGUGCUCCUGCUGCAUGGUGGGGGUUGGAAAGCUCCGGCGGUUGUGGAUGGACUCGCGGCCUAUCAGCUUGUUGGUGGGGUAGUGGCCUACCAAGGCGGCGACGGGUAGCCGGCCUGAGAGGGUGACCGGCCACAGUGGGACUGAGAUACGGACCAGACUCCUACGGGAGGCAGCAGUGGGGAAUAUUGCACAAUGGGCGCAAGCCUGAUGCAGCAACGCCGCGUGCGGGAUGACGGCCUUCGGGUUGUAAACCGCUUUCAGCAGGGACGAAGCUUUUUGUGACGGUACCUGCAGAAGAAGCACCGGCUAACUACGUG
rnacentral:rRNA from 1 species